rnacentral:rRNA from 1 species
AAAAACAUGUCUUUUUGUUUAUGAUUUAAGGUUUGACCUGCCCAAUGAUUUUUAUUUAAUGGCUGCAGUAUUUUGACUGUACAAAGGUAGCAUAAUCAUUAGUUUCUUAAUUGGAAGCUGGAAUGAAUGGUCUGAUGAAAAAUUUACUGUCUCAAUUUGAUUGUUUUAGAAUUUUAUUUUUAAGUGAAAAAGCUUAGAUUUAUUAAGAAGACGAGAAGACCCUAUAGAGUUUUACGUAUUUAGGAUUAUUUUUUUUAUGAUUUUAUUGUUUUUAAUUUUUUGUUACGUUUUGUUGGGGUGAUGCGAAAAUUUUUUUAACUUUUCUUAAUUUUAACACUAAUUAGUGAUUUAAUGAUCCUUUUUUAGAUUAUAAAAUUAAAUUACCUUAGGGAUAACAGCGUAAUUUUUUUUGAAAGCUCUUAUUGAUAAAAAAGUUUGCGACCUCGAUGUUGGAUUAAAGUUUAUUUUUGGUGUAGAAGCUAGUAAAUUAGGUCUGUUCGACC